ACUUUUGAAACAGGCAGAAGAGUUAGUUAUAGUAAGUAUCCCUGGUUCAAGAUGAUUAAGCACUAACCACCAUCAUGUCUAGGUGAAAGCAUGUAAUUUGAUCUAAACAAGAUGAUGGUUAGUGCUUAAUGGCCUUGCACCAGUGAUACUACACAUGUCCUUGAAAAAGAUUCUCUAACACUCUGAAAGGAAGACCAAAAGAUCAAAAAUGUACCAUCAAAAUCAAGGUACCUCUGGUGUUGCUAGGAAACUAGAAAACAGUUGCUACAAACUAAGUUUUCUCCAUGACAAUGGCCUAAACAUUAAAUGACUUCGAUACAGCAACAUGAAACAGUUCCAGGCCUCAAUAAUCAAUUCAAAAAGACUGUCAAACACUGAGCCAGCACUGAUGCAGCAGCCACAAUCCUCUCAAGGAAUACUGAAACAUGCAGCAGAAGUGGUCAAUAAAAAUUCAAUUAAUAGUGCAAAUAUUACUCAAAAUACUGUGUUCCAGGAUCUUGAUCAAAAUAAGUAUGGAAUUAAGACCCCGAAUUAAAUCUAGACAUCAUAAUGCUUGGUGCUCAAUAAUUAGGUAAGUGAUGGUAGCUGCAACGUAGGUUAAAGAGUUAGAGCUAAGUGAUUCUUGCAGCUAUUUUAAAUAACUAUUUAAAUAUUUAAGAUUACUGUUAGAAACACUUUGGUCUAGUUCUUUAAUUUAUGAUGUAGUUACUAUGACGUGAUUAUUGAGCACUAACCAUCAUCGUGUCUAGAGUGAAUAAGAGGUUUAAAAAUUCCAUUAUGUCAAUAUUCUUGAGUAACAGCUCUAGAACUCUAUUUGGUUUAAAACAAGAUCCUCCUCGAGUACUUAUACAGAAUAAAGGACCUGUUUCAAAUCCAAAAUCGACAUCCAACAUCCGGCAGUCCUGCAGUAGCUGUUGCAAGAUGAUCUGGCACUAAACAUCAUCACGUCUAGGUUCAAUUAGGAGUUUAAUGACUCUGUUGUUUUUAAUUUCGUAUCCAUUUUGGAUGUAAUUGAUUAUGACUUUCAGAAGAUUUUCUGGAGGUUAUAAUUUAAUUAAAUCCAAUGUGGGUGCAAGAUUAAAAUCACCAGAAUCAUAAAACAUUAAAUUGGGUCUAAGUGAGAUGAUGUUGGGUGCCAGAUGGCCUUGCUGCAGCCAGAACACUGCAUGAGCAGCUUCUUCCAAUUCGUAGAAGUAAGAUACGUUGGUCUGGCAAGCAGUAGAGAUAAAAGGAGCGAAAAAAGCAGAUGUGGGAACUGAAAUUUUAAUGUUACAUUUACUAUCUCUGUUGCAAGAUGAUCUGGCACUAAACAUCAUCAGGUUUGGACUCUAUUCGAGGUUUAAUAAUUUCAGUUUUCUUAAUCCCGUAUCCACACUGGAAGUAAUUGAUUACGACUUUUAGAAGAAUAUUCUGGAGGUUAUAAUUUAGUUAAAUCCAAUGUGGGUACAAGAUUAGGAAGACUGAUAUUAUAAAACAUCAAAUUGAGCCUAAAUCAGAUGAUGUUUGGUGCCAGAUGGUCUUGGAGCAAAUAUGUAACAACAUAUUUAUUGGUGUGCCAAGUUGUGAGAGGAGAAACUCAAAAAUGGAGACAUGAAUUAUUGUUAAAACAGUGCUGCCCAUAUUUUUAUAAUAACCGAUAAAGUUGAAGUCAAUUCUUGCAGCACCUUAGGAGGAAUCAUUUCGUAUUCUUGAUAAGUAAACUUUUCAAUGAGGACCAUAAAGGCUGAAAAUACCGUUUCGAGGCCAACGUUCGUUCCAGCCUCCUCAGACAGUUUACUAGAAAUUAUGUGUAAAAGGCUUGUGAACGUCUGUACGUGACUGGUUAUAUAACAGAAGAGGCUGUUAGGAAAAUCAAGAUACCUGAUGGCUUACUCAACACAGUUGAAUUGCCUCUUUCAAUAAUGUUAUAAAUGUUAAAUGUAACUUAC